rnacentral:rRNA from 1 species
UACGGAGGGGGCGAGCGUUAUUCGGAAUUAUUGGGCGUAAAGGGCGCGUAGGCGGGAUGGCAAGUCGGUCGUGAAAUCCCUCGGCUCAACCGAGGAACGUCGAUCGAUACUGCUGUUCUUGAGGAUUGCAGAGGAGACUGGAAUUCCCGGUGUAGCGGUGAAAUGUGUAGAGAUCGGGAGGAACACCGGUGGCGAAGGCGGGUCUCUGGGCAAUUCCUGACGCUGAGGCGCGAAAGCGUGGGGAGCAAACGGG